rnacentral:rRNA from 1 species
GGUCAAGUUACUAAGAGCAUAGGGUGGAUGCCUUGGCACUAGGAGCCGAAGAAGGACGUGGUAAGCUGCGAAAAGCUACGGGGAACUGCAAGCAAGUGACGAUCCGUAGAUGUCCGAAUGGGGGAACCCACUUAUCGUAAUGGAUAAGUAUCCAUGACUGAAUUCAUAGGUCAUAGGAAGGGAACUCGGGGAACUGAAACAUCUAAGUACCCGAAGGAAGAGAAAACAACAGUGAUUUCCUAAGUAGCGGCGAGCGAACGGGAAACAGCCCAAACCUGAGUCUACGGACGAAGGGGUGAGGAUAGUCGAUAAAGUGAUGCCGGUAUUUUAGCAGAAGCAUUUGGGAAAAUGCGCCGAAGAGUGUGAGAGCCACGUACGCGAAAAGAGAAGGGCCGCGAGACUAAUCCGGAGUACCACGGAGCACGUGAAACUUUGUGGGAAGCAGGCAGGACCAUCUGCCAAGGCUAAAUACUACCUAGUGACCGAUAGAGAAUAGUACCGUGAGGGAAAGGUGAAAAGGACCCCGUGAGGGGAGUGAAAAAGAACCUGAAACCCUAUGUUUACAAGCAGUGGAAGUUCGUUAAAGAACGACCACGUACUUUUUGUAGAACGGGCCAACGAGUUACGUUAUGCAGCAAGGUUAAGCGCUUAAGGUGUGGAGCCGCAGCGAAAGCGAGUCUGAAGAGGGCGAAAGUUGUAUGGCGUAGACCCGAAACCGGGUGACCUAUCCAUGUGCAGGGUGAAGCUGAAGUAAAAUUUAGUGGAGGCCCGAACCCAUAUCUGUUGAAAAAGGUUGGGAUGACAUGUGGAUAGCGGAGAAAUUCCAAUCGAACUCGGAGAUAGCUGGUUCUCCUCGAAAUAGCUUUAGGGCUAGCCUUGAUCUUAGUGAUACGGGGGUAGAGCACUGAAUGUCCUAGGGGCUUUCACCGGCUACCGAAGACUAUCAAACUCCGAAUACCGAUAUCAUAUGAUCAGGAGUCAGACUAUGGGUGAUAAGAUUCAUGGUCAAAAGGGAAAGAGCCCAGACCAUCAGCUAAGGUCCCAAAAUGUAAGUUAAGUGGAAAAGGAUGUGGGAUUGCAUAGACAACUAGGAUGUUGGCUUAGAAGCAGCCACUCAUUCAAAGAGUGCGUAAUAGCUCACUAGUCGAGUGAUCCUGCGCCGAAAAUUACCGGGGCUAAAACUUACUACCGAAGCUAUGGAAUUGUGCGGAUGCAUAAUUGGUAGAGGAGCAUCGUAUGAGGGGCGAAGCAGUAUCGUAAGGAGCUGUGGACAUCAUACGAGAGAGAAUGUUGGCAUGAGUAACGAGAGAUGGGUGAGAAUCCCAUCCGCCGAAAACCUAAGGUUUCCUGGGGAAGGUUCGUCCGCCCAGGGUAAGUCAGGACCUAAGCCGAGGACGAAAGUCGUAGGCGAUGGACAACAGGUCAAGAUUCCUGUACCACCGAGAACCGUUUGAGAAAGGGAGUGACACAGGAGGAUAGGCUGAGCGCGUGAUUGGUAGAACGCGUCCAAGCAGCGAGUCUGUAAGAUAGGCAAAUCCGUCUUACUGAGGGUGAGCUGUGAUGGGGAGUGAAAUAAAAGUAGCGAAGCAGCUGAUAUCAAACUGUCGAGAAAAGCUUCUAUCGAGGGAGCAGGUGCCUGUACCGUAAACCGACACAGGUAGGAGAGUAGAGAAUACUAAGGCGAGCGAGAAAACCAUUGUUAAGGAACUCGGCAAAAUGACCCCGUAACUUCGGGAGAAGGGGUGCCGGAUUAGGUUGAGAGCUAAAUCCGGCCGCAGAGGAUAGGCCCAAGCGACUGUUUACCAAAAACACAGGUCUCUGCUAAAUCGAAAGAUGAUGUAUAGGGGCUGACGCCUGCCCGGUGCUGGAAGGUUAAGGGGAAUUGUUAGAGCAAUCGAAGCAACGAACCGAAGCCCCAGUAAACGGCGGCCGUAACUAUAACGGUCCUAAGGUAGCGAAAUUCCUUGUCGGGUAAGUUCCGACCCGCACGAAAGGCGUAACGAUUUGGGCGCUGUCUCAACAAUGGACUCGGUGAAAUUGUAGUACCGGUAAAGAUGCCGGUUACCCGCAGCAAGACGGAAAGACCCCGUGGAGCUUUACUGCAGCUUGGCACUGGAUAAUGGUAUAAGAUGUACAGGAUAGGUGGGAGACAGAGAACUGAGGACGCCAGUCUUCAGGGAGUCGCCGUUGGGAUACCACUCUUGUUAUAACGUUAUUCUAACUAUGAUGAGUAAUCCUGAUCUAGGACAAUGUCAGGUGGGCAGUUUGACUGGGGCGGUCGCCUCCUAAAGAGUAACGGAGGCGCCUAAAGGUUCCCUCAGCGCGGCUGGAAAUCGCGCGAAGAGUGUAAAGGCAAAAGGGAGCUUGACUGCGAGAGAGACAUCUCGAGCAGGGACGAAAGUCGAGCUUAGUGAUCCGGUGGCACCGCAUGGAAGGGCCAUCGCUCAACGGAUAAAAGCUACCCCGGGGAUAACAGGCUUAUCUCCCCCAAGAGUCCACAUCGACGGGGAGGUUUGGCACCUCGAUGUCGGCUCGUCUCAUCCUGGGGCUGAAGUAGGUCCCAAGGGUUGGGCUGUUCGCCCAUUAAAGAGGCACGCGAGCUGGGUUCAGAACGUCGUGAGACAGUUCGGUCCCUAUCUGCUGUGGGCGUAGGAAAUUUGCGAGGAGCUGUCCUUAGUACGAGAGGACCGGGAUGGACAAACCACUGGUGUAUCAGUUGUUCUGCCAAGAGCACUGCUGAGUAGCUACGUUUGGAAGGGAUAAGCGCUGAAGGCAUCUAAGCGCGAAGCCCCCCUCAAGAUGAGAUUUCCCAUCCAGAAAUGGAGUAAGAUCCCAUGAAGAAAAUAUGGUAAUAGGCCUGAGGUGUAAGUGCAGUAAUGUAUGUAGCUGACAGGUACUAAUAGAUCGAGGACUUGACCAA